CUCUGCUAUUUUUAUCUAAAAUCCAUGAAUAUUUGACUCUUAUUUGAUAGCAUAUGGGGCGGCAACUUUUUAUAUAGUAGACUAGGUCAUAAAACCUAGUCUAACAAAAAGUCCAUGGGGUGUCCAACUCUUGGACGCCCCCUCCCUCAUAAAUUUCAUGGAGAGCAUGAAAUAACUCACAAAAGGGACUACAAAAAGAAG
rnacentral:lncRNA from 1 species